CUCGUAUCAAAGAGCUGGCUUAGUGUUACAGACUUGGAGUUCUUAAUAUGGGAGCCAGAAUGCGGUCCAUACAAUGCAAACUGACUCCCAUAUUAAGUCUUAAGGAAUAUGGUGGGCAAUCUGACAUCGGAUCCAAGAAAUGUGAGGAUUGCACUUCCUACAAAGCUGCAGUCCUAUGGAACUAUAGAAGGGCAAAGUUCAAGAUCUUCAGAGCCCUCAAGGAGGAAAUUCUACCAAGAGUGACCUUCUGCCUCCUGACAACCAAGCAGUCCAGCACCUCAGCUAGGCAGAAGGUUGCAUGCCCAUGCCAGGAGCCUGUUUGGAUUGCUUAAGUAUCUUUAUCAUCACACCCACUGCCUUUCAGCAAUUAUUUUCUAGCUGCUUGAGCUAGGCUUACCUAAGAGUUAGAGAAUCCUUGAGAGUUGUGGACAAGAACUAUCCUAUUCAAUUUAAAUUCCUCACCUGUCCAGGGACCGUUUUCAUAGAAAUCUGAAGGAGAAAGGAGGUUGACUCCCUUUUACAAGCACAAUCAAGGAAGAAGGUGUAGGGACAGGAGUGUUUAUUCUCACUAUUUCAUAACACCAAAGAAGAAAGGAGGUUAGAUAGACAUUUUUUCUUUGUUUCAUGAUGCAAAACUGCUGUUUCAAAUUUGGAACCCCUUCAUAAGAUCCUCAGCAUAGGCAGUCAGUUCUUGAUUUAUAAGAUGCCUGUUUUAAAUGUCCAUAUUUCCAGGCCAUAGGAGGUACCUUGUGCCAUCUAGAAAUCACUGAGUCCUGCCUUCCAGCCUGUCUGUCUCCCUGAUAGUUUUUACUAAAUGUCUGAUGUUAGGAACAGCUCAUCUAAGGAGACAAGUAAUGAAGGUAUAUCUUUAAUUAGGUGACAGACUGAUUCAAGGGACAUCAUUGCAACAGUUGAUCAGCUCAGUAUAAGCAGUCCUAAAACUAUUUGCUUCACUUGCUCUGAGUCAAGAUAGGGUGCAUCUACAUGUGUGCAUUUACUGUGCAGUACAGAUGCGCAUCUACACGUGCAUCCCCUUACUGCUCAGUAAACAUGGUGACUUACACCGACUUAAGCAUAAAUUUGAUACCUGCAUCAUACAGGAUUCAAAUUUAUGCCCAGUUAGUUACUGCACAGUAACACACAUGUAGACACUUUACUGUGCAGGAACACCAUGUGUGGGGACUGACUUGGGACUAACUUUAAUCCCAAAUCAGUCCACACACAGUGUUAAUGCACUUGUUAAUGUGCUGUAAUUUACCGCACAGUCAAUUUAGGCCAGUGUAAAUGCGUGUGUAGAAAUGCCCAGAGAAAUCUACACUGAGGCAAACUCAGAGCAUAGUAACAAAGUUAAACUCCAGAUCAGUAAGAGGCUUACCUUUCAUAACAAAAAUUUUACAUCAUAGCAGACCUCAUUCAAUAACUUCAAGACUACCGUUGAGGACCAGUUUUGUGUCUCAGACUUCUAAAAACCAAGGCUUUUAUGUGCUUAUGUUACAUAUAUGCCAGGCUUCACCUCAAGUCCAUAAAAGGGUUGCCAGAAUCAGUGCAUUUCCAGCAAGACACUUGGACAAGGUGGUCACAAGUCAUGCAAGAAGCUGUUAAAACUGGUGAACUGAACUAGUUCAGGUAUGCAACAAAAUACUCUUCUCCACACCUCUACCAACAAAGAGUUCAAUAAUACAUGCCUCCACUCACUGAUGAGGUCCAUACAGAUCACCUUCAAAGUCAGGAUCUAUGGUACAAUAUUGAUUGCAUACAAAUGGUUUAAAAUUCCCUUCUAUGAGAUUAAUAGAUGAAGUAUUGUUGGACAUGCAACAGCCAUGUAAGCAGCUGGAUAGGUAAGGGGGAAGUAAGAUCAAAGAUCUAUGGCUUGAUAGAGCAGGGGAGUAGUACAUUUUGCAGCAGAUCAUACUGAUAGCUCUGCAUGUUCCUGUCUUCAGAAUAUGCUGGCAGACCAGCUUAGGAAGGAUUUUUCUUAAAAUCAAGGAUCAUCUGUGGAACCCUAAGUAAUAUGGAGCUUCAUUAGCAAACAGCAGUUCCCAAAAGGAAUUUCCAAAGUUUCCAACAGACCUCUAGGAUUGGACAGUCUGUUUCAUAAGGAGGAUAAAGUCCAGGCUUCCAGUCAAAACCCUUCUUACUCCUUUGGAUGCUGGAGUUGAAGUGUGCAUUUCCACUGAUCCCCAUUAGAGGGUCCUGAGGAACUAAGACAAGACACAUGGCAGCAUAAACAUGGGCCAGGCAUUUUUUAUAUUUGGACCUGAUAAACCCAUUACCACAACCACCAGUAACCUUGUCUAUUGUAUCCAACAUAGCCUGCGAGAUGAUAAGAUUCCACAGCCAGAUCCAGCACCUUUUCUAUGUUAUUAUGUUUCUAUGUUAUUAAAGAGGAAUGGUGAGGACAUUACUUGUUUUAACAAAUUUGCUUCCGAAUAAGGAAAAAUGUAAUGACUGCUAUAUCUUAACAAAGGUCUUCUUUUAUUUUCAGGCCUCCACUGCUGACUUUCUGAUUUUUGUAAGUAAGUAAACAUCAUAAGUGGCAUAAAGAAAUGUAGUGAAAUGGUUCUGUAUAUUAUAUUUUAACGCUUAGUCCGGCUUUGGAAUCAGAGGCCCCUGUAUACUGCUGAGCUGUCCCUAACCACAGCUGACCUGACCAGUAAACAACAGCACUGGUAAGAUGAUAACAUCUCAUCUCUACUGCUUGGUAAGUAUUGAUAGCCUUGAUGAGACUUGAAAAUGUGUAUCUCAAGAUCUUGACUAAAAUCUUACUAAAUUUCUGUGCUGAUUACUCAGAGGCCAUCUGAUGUUUUCUUUUCUGGAAUCCUACAAAGAAGUCCUGGGGAGUUAGAAAUGUUUUUUUUUCCUACAAGUCCCAAUACUUAUACAAACAAUAGCAAUGUAGAUGUUUGCAUUCCUUGUGUAAAUAGGGUAGUUUGAGCAAUAUAACCAAUAUUGAUUUAAACAGUGUUAUGGAAACCUAUCUUUUGAUACAUUUAAACAGACUGGGAUAAGAAAACAACAUGCAGGGCUGUGUAGGGCUGGUUAUCAUGGAUAAAAUGUGAAGGAAGUGCAUACUGUACUGAGACUGAAUCUGUGCUCAUGGGAGCAACCCAUCAAAUACCGCAGUUUGCAUAAGCAGUAACCUAAGUAACAAAUAAAUAUUGGUUGUGUAAUGUAGAUGGUUGACUCAUAAAGAUAAGGUAGAAUUGUAUUUAGUGUUUGGGGUGGCCUGUUAACCCACAGAGCCACCUAAGAAGGGUAGGGUCAGGCUGUACAUGUCAGAUAAUAUCAUCUACUUAUGUCCAUAAUUCACUUAAUUGUAAAUGAAGUGCCUUAAUUGUUCUGUCCUCUUUGAAGUAGCAAAUGCCUGUGCUUUGCUUGCUUUUAAACACAAACUGGGACAGGUGUCAGUAAAAUAAAUCUUCCCAAACACUUGUCAAGUCAUCAAAUGGUACAGCAUUCUUUUUGCUGUGUGAAUUUUUUUUAAAUCACUGGAGUUAGUAAAUAGAGGCAAACUUGUUCAGUUAUUUCUUUGUGGCAUGGGUUUGCACUGGGAUGGAGAAUUUGCCUUGUUUCCUGAUUUGCAUAAAAGUUGUUGAUAUUCACAGUAUGAAAACAACUCAUUUUGAUUAAGUGCCAUCAACAUCUGUAGCUAGAAGGGCUGCUGUGCAUCAUUGACAGUUAGAUCCUGAGGUUCUUAUGUCAGGUAGUAAAAUAAAAAAAUUGCCACUUUGGAGAAGCAAUUACAACAUCCAGUGGCCAGUCAGCGGUAUCACAUGUAUGUUAUUCAAUGGGAAUGUUCCCAAGAUGUGCGUUCCAUACUAUGUUUACUGUUCAAAAGUUGUUAAUUGCUAUAAAAUAUAUCACCCACUUUUCACACUUCUAUUAGAUAAAAAAGUAGAUAAAAAGUGUAACAGACGUUUAAUCAUCAAGUGUAAUGACUACAAAUUUCCUGCUUUCCCUAGAAAAGGAUGCUAUGAAAAGGGUAAUGUAGUUAAAAAAAACCAAAAAAACUCACGCAUCUUUAUAUUGCUCUUCAAAUGUUUUCCCUUGGCUCUGACCCUGUGCUGCAGUGCAGUGCAUUUUAUAUAAAAGUCCAAAUUCUACCAAGAACGUUUUCUGUAUCACACUGUAACAACUGUUCUGCCAACCCUCAUAUGAGCCACCCUCAGUUUCAGCACCUUCCAGGUAACUCUCACCUGCUUCCUAGUUGUCAGAUGGAUCUAGUACUUUAAUAAAAGCUGUGUCCUUUAAUACAAAAACCUUUCCCACUCUUAAUUUUAUCUGUUCCCUGCUAGUCUCAUCCUUGGGGUAAUUCCCUCUGGGAUGUGUCUGUUCCAUCUGGGAAUGCACAGGAGGACACAGAGAGGUGAUGAUACACUAUGUCCUGGGACAGAGAAAUAAGAAACUCAAAUGCAUUUUUAUAAAGGGGAGAUGCAGAUCUUUUGAGAGUUUUAGGCAUGACUGUGGGAAGGAGAAGCCCAUAGAUACAGAGUGACUUUAGAUUAAGGCUUGGUUUGUUCCUGUCUACAUGGGACAGUAAAGUUGUGCCAGCAAAAAACAAUCCAUCAAACAUUCAAUACUUUUAAAUGGGAAGGAAGGGAGGGAGGGAUUGAGGGAUUGUUUUCCAUGUUUCCUUCCUUUGUCUCAAGCUCUCCUUCCUGCUUUCUGUAUACUGCAUCCUUGAGAUAACUCCAAAAUACCCUCUAAUUACCGGGUAGAGAAGUCUUGGUUCUUUCAUCUCUCCUCUGCAUUUCAGCCCCUUGUUCUACAAAUGGAUGAGGUGUAUUUGUACACUCAAAAUGGAUAACCACAGCUCAUCAAAACAAAGGGAAGAAAUCAUUUCAAGUGUUCCUGAAAGCUUUGUUGUCUGAUCUUACUGACAGAGUAAAGGGCAUAUGCGUUUGACAGAGGAUCUUCCCAGAGCCACCCAUCCUAGCCUUCAGACAAGCACCGAACCUCGCCAACCUCAUCACCAGAAGCAAACUUCCUCAGCCCCAGAACACACCAAAAGGAUCCAGACCAUGCCAUGACAAGAAAUGCAAAACCUGUCCCCACAUCUCCACCACCUCCACUAUUACUACACCCCACAACAGAGCCAUCAGCAUCCCAGGAUCUUACAGCUGCACCUCCAGAAAUGUGAUAUACCUCAUCCAAUGCACCAAAUGCCCUGAUGGAAGAUAUGUAGGAGAGACCAGACAACUGCGCACCAGAAUGAAUGCACACCGGAAAUCCAUCAAAGACAGAAAUAUCCAAUUACCAGUGGGGGCACAUUUCUCACAGGAGGGCCACUCUCUCUCCAAUCUCUCAGUCCUGAUCCUCAAGGGAAAUUUACACAACACAUCCCAGAGACAAGCCUAUGAGCUCCAUUUCAUCAACCUGCUGGAUACUAGAGAUCACAGACUAAACAUAGACAUUGGAUUUUUGAUACAUUACAAUCUGCCUGGCAACUGACUCCCCAGUCCUGCCCCUGGCUUCUUUACUUUUCAUUCCAUCCAGGAAGAGCACGCAGCAACUGCUGCAGCGUCCUUAGCCUGACGAAGGGUUUUUGAACUCGAAAGCUUGCUUAAUAACUAUUCUCCAACCAUUUGGGUUGGUCUAAUAAAAGAUAACAAAUUCACCCAAGGAA